ACGAUAUCUGCUGCGAUACCUCAAUUAGAAGUGAAGGAAUGAUUCAAAAGCACUGUUUGCAAGGCCCCGCCAUGGCUAAAGUAGCAUGUUGAGGCACAACUGUUACAAACAAGCUUAUGAACAUAAACCUGUUAGGAGCAAAGCUCGACUUAUUUUACAUUUGUUUGUUUUUUGUUUUUUUUGUUUUUUUUUUUUAAUCUAUGCUUUAGAGCUCUUAAGAAUUGUGUUCUAAGUUGAAAAAAUUGAUCGCAGGUCGAGGUUCUUCUCCUUGCAUAGUGGAUACUCGUUGAAGUGCUCCAACGACUGUGUGACUUAUUGUCACUCCAUUUCUUCAGACGGUUGAUAGAGUCACAUGCACAAUGCGAGUUAGAGUCUGAGUGUGGUGAUGAAUUCGUUGAUGCAAUCGUUGAGGUUGAUUUCUUGGUGGUGGCGAAGACUUCGUCAUUGGAGGAUAGCCCUCCAUAAAGUUUCAAGGCGAAGCGGUGGUGUUGAAGAAAAAAUGUAGUUUUGGUUCUACUAUAAAUGCUAGGAGAUUUUAUGUAGUCAAUAGAGGUGUUUGCCCUCGGGUUUAUUUAUCUUAGUGCGAGUGUGCCGAAUAGAUUUUGGAUUAAUGUGAGGCAUUUCAUAAGAAUUUUUGGACUCUGGAGGAUGCUGAGGUUUUUGUAGGUCUUUUAGUUUAGGUUUUUGUACCUUCUGAGUUAAAUCCCUCUCUAAAACUCAGAUAGGUGAUGUUGGGUUCUAUUGUAGAUUCUUAGUUUUCUAUAGGCAGUUUUGCAAGACCUUCUUGUUCUUUAUUUCUAAUAAAUUGAUGUUGUGCGAGGGGUUUGGUAAACUGAUUUGCUUGCUGAAAGAGAUGUAGCUGACCUCUACACUUCUUUCUUCAAAUUUCUCUCAGAUAUAGUGAUGUUCUAGUUCUAUGUGCUUUGUUCUUUGAUGCAUGAUUGGGUUCUUAACAAGCAUGAUAGUACUGAAAUUAUCACAGAGUAGGGGGGGGGGGGUUGGUCCUGGUAUUUUCACCUGGAGUUCUUGUAAUAGUCGUUGAAAGUAGGUUAUGUUUCUUGCUGCUUCCGACAAAACUCGAUAUUCUGCUUCGUUGGAAGACAAUAACGUGGGUUGCAAUUUACUUGUCCAGGCUAUAGGAGUUCUAGUCUCCUUUUGAAGUUUUCAUUUCGGGUUCAUUGAUACUAGUAAGGAGUUGCAAGAGGUCAUCCCAAAUUUAUCCAGCAAUUUUUGGAUGUACCUUCGUUGGUGGAAAUAAAUGGCACAAUUGUCGUAUAUUAGCUCUACUCCAAGACUUCUUCAUCAAUUUUCCCGUUGAGGAAAGCGCUUUUGACGUCUAAGUGCUGCAGUUUCCACUGUUUCUUUGGAGUUAAUGCAAUUAUGCUCCAAAUGGUGGACUAUCUAACUACAGGUGCGAACGUUUCACCAAAGUCAAUCUCUUCUUCUUAUUCAAAUCCCCGGGCUACGAGCCUCGCCUUCAAUUUUUUUGCCUGUUUUCUUGAUGCAAUUUUCAAUUUGAAAAUCUAGUUUGUAGAUAUGGGUGACUUUCUCGCAGGUAGAUCAACCAGAUGCCAAGUCUGAUUUUGUGUUAUGGAAUCUACCUCUUGAUCUAUCGUGGUUUUCCAUCCUUUGUGUUGAAUCGCUUGUUCAAAGAUUUCAGGUUCAAAUUCUAUUCUUUCUGUCGUCAGUAAAUAGUUGUCAAUGAAUCUGCUCCUUGGUCUCUGUUCUUGUAUUUGGUAUUAUCUUUCUCUCAAUUAAGUCAGUUUGUGUUCUGGAAACUGCGCAAGUGAACUUUGCGCGUGGUUGUGGUGUCCAAUGCUGUCAUCAUUGCUAUCACUUGAAAAUUGAUUAGUGGAACUAGAAGUUGGAGGUGCGUUGUCGGAUAAGUCUUGAGCGACGGGGAAUUCUACUUGUUUGGCGGCUUCAAUUUUUCUAGAUUCCUAAUCUGGGAAUGAGGCGAGUUUUUCCAUUUUAAAGUCUUGAGGGCUUAUUUUGUCAUAGCCUACUUGGCUCUUAUCUAUAACUACAUCACAACUAAUAUAGAGUUUGCGUUUUACAGGAUCAAAGACUCUGUACGCUUUUGAGUGUUCAUCAUAGCCUACGAAGAUACAACGUAGUGUUUUGUUGUCCAAUUUAGAUCUACUCUCCUUUGGUAUGUGUAGGUAUGCUAGGGCGUCCACUCUAGGUUUUGUUUUCAAGAAUCUUUGUUUGGGUGUAGUACCAUGGUAAGCUCUUGUGGGACUUAUAUUUACAAGGUAGUUGGCUAUAUUGAUGACUUUUGUCCACAGAAAUCCGAGCAAUUGGUAGACAGCCAACAUUGAUCUAGCUCUUUCAACCAAGGUUUUGUUCCAUCUUUCACUCACUCCAUUUUUUUGAGGUGUCCUUGCCAUAGUUAGCUGCCUUACUAUGCCAUGGUUUGUUAGGAAGUUGUUAACUUCGUGUAAUAGGUAUUUCCCUCCCAUGUCUGUUUGUAGCAUCAGUAUUUUCUUGCAUGUUUUGGAUCCUAUUCUUGAUUUAAACUCUCUAAACUUUCCAAAUGUCUCGCUUUUAUUCUUUAUAAAGUAAACGCAACUUUUCCUGGAGAAUUUGUCUAUAAAGACAACAAAGUAUCUUGAUCCAACUAAUGACGGAGUUUGAACAGGUCCAACAAGGUCAGAGUGAAUUAGUUGCAAUACUUAUGUGCUCCUAUGUGAUGUUGUCUUUGAGAAGCGCUCUGUGUGUUGGCGUCCAACAAGUCAAUCUCCACAGAUUUCCUUCGUGUAUCCAAGCAUGGAUAGUCCAAUGACCCUUACUGCUCUUGAAAGGUGCUGAAGACCUACGUAAUGAAGAUGUCCAUAUCUUUGGUGCCAGAGUCGUAUAUCUCAUUUUAAUAAUAUUGAGUUUACUUUAGCUUCCAAUGAUUUGUUUGUAAAUCUACAGAGGUCAUUUGAUGGAUCUCGUCUUCCUAAGGCUAAUAUUAUCUGUUUCUUGUGGUUGUUCAGAAUAAUGCAUUGCAAAUUGGUAAACACUAUGAUAUGACCUUGAUCAAUCAAUGAUCCUACUAAUAAGAGACUAUGUGUCAAAGUCCGCACAUAUAGAAUAUUUCCCAACUUUAUUUUACUUGAGACUAUUUUCACAAUAGAUGAGCCGGCGGCUCCAACUUGGUGAACACCAUUGUCGGCUAUUUUUACAGUGUGACCAGAUGAGUUCCCUUCUAUCCAUUGUAGUUUUGCUCUCACUCUUGUGACAUGAUUACUAGCUCUAGAAUCCAUGUACCAAUGCUGAUUUUGGUAUUUGGUCAAAUUUGCAUGUGAAGACCACUCUAUCACUCCUGCAUAGUUUCCUUUAUUGUAGUUUGAACUAGGAUAGUACUUCAUGUGAGAACAAUUUUUCGCAAUGUGGCCUAGGUUUCCACAUGUAUAGCAUACUACAAUUCUGGGACUUCUAAACUGUCCAGAUUUAUUAGGAUAAGCAGUUGGAAGGUUACCCUAAUGGUGUCCAGACGCAUUUCCUCUCAGCUGAGAAUUACAGUUGUAUUGUGAUAAUGGUUGUUGUUGUGGAAUGGUACAGAUCCUCGACCAUAGCUGCGUCCUCUUCGACCUUCUUCUUAGAAGUAACCUCUUCAUCUUGGAAAGAACGGUCGCUAGAAGUGUACUAAUAGUGCCUUGUCUUGUUCGAGCUUCUACUCUCGCACUACCACUUGGUGUGUCUAUGUGAGGAUUUUUUUCAUAACUUCUUCAAAGGAUGGGCUUGUCAUGUACGUGAUCCUUUGGAUUACCAUCUCGUAACUCCUUGGUAGUCCAUUGAGAACAAUAUUGUUCAAUGUCUUGUCCUCAACUACCUCCCUGAACGCCUUCAGUUGGUUCCUGAUGUCCAUUGCUUCAGAUAGAUAAGUAUUGAUGUCUCCUCCUUUCAUCACCAUGUUGUGUAGUUUGCUCAUGAGUAACAUGGUAAAGGAGGUGGCGCUUUUGGAAUAGAAAUGUAACAAGCACACAGCGGAGCUGGAGACGAUGCUGAUAGAGCUAAAGCCGAUUGUAGAUAGCAUUAAUCCAUCUACCGCUAACUUUGCGGUGGGAAAUUGGUUGAAGGGUUUGCGCAUGAGGUUAGAUUGCUUGAAGCACAUGUUGCAAGCCCUGAAAAGGAAUUGUUUCACUAUUCCUGAAUUUCUUAAUUCCAGAUAGCUGGUGAAGGAGAAGGAGCUGCUAAGCAACAUUCUGUCACAAGCUUCAAUUGUGGGUUUUGCAGUAUUCUCGGAGACUUCUGCAAAUAUGAUGAAGCUGCUCGAUGAACAAAAACAAAGUCAAAUGAGAUUUAUCUUCAUUUAGAGAGGUUGAAGUUGGCCUGUGCUACCAAAUUAGCACUUGACAAGUCUCAAUACGGGUAAAGAAAGUCAGAGGAUGUAAUGGCUGCGAUAUCAUCUAUCACAAGUGAAGUGGAUACCAUCCGCUUGACUUCCACACAUACUAGUGCUUUGCCAAAAGUCUCCACCUCCACUAACAUGCCGUGCGGCGUGGAUAUGGAGAAGGUGUUCGGAAGAGAUGGGAAUGUGGAAGAAGCAAAGAAGUUGUUACUGGACCAGAACACACUCAUGAUAGGGUUCUUGGCAAUAGGUGGGGCAGAGAAGAUGCUUGCCGCUCAGCAAGUCUUCUAUGACAAUGCCAAACGAGUGCACUUCACACGGGGUUGCUUCUGGUUCACUAUCAAUAGAGACUUGUCGGUGGGGAGUCUCUUCCACAACCUCAUUGAAGAUCACUGAUUGCUCAGAUGCCCGCCAAAACAUUCCCAUGGAUGAUAUGAAAACAGAGCUAAGUGAGGAUCUUAAGGAUAAGAAGAACAUGCUUGUUGUCCUGGACGAUGUUUGGGAAGAAAAUGUGCUACGCUCGGUGGCAUCUGUGGUCCUCUCAAGAGCGGGGUGCAAAAUCCUCGUCACCACUUGCAUAGAGUAGGUGUUGGACAAAAACCAUGUGACAAAGCUUAAAUUUGUGUUGCUAGAUGAAGAGAACACUUGGAAGUUGUUCUGAUGGCAAGCACUUUGAGGGACCAAUCGUGUGUUUCUGGAGCUAAAAAAGCUAGCUGAGGACGUGAUGGGCAAAUGUGGUGGACUUUUGCUGGCGCUCAAAGUGAUUGGCAGUGUGUUUGCAGGGAAGCUAAUCGAGGCUUUUAGGAGUUGUCUUUGUAGAAGCAAAAUAUGCGGAUAUUUUAGACAAGGAUCACAAAAUGCGGCUGCACAGUUGACUCAAACUCAGUUUUGAUGAGCUUGGAAGUAUCGAUCAAAGACUAAAGGAUUGCCAAGUUGGGAUAUACGAAGAUUUGUUGCCGUUGUAGAGAGGGAAAGGAAUUGUGGGAGAGAAGUCUGAGUAUGAUCCGAACCUAGAAGCGUGUAGGCUGGUGGGCGUGUUGGUCUCCCGCUCAUCAAGGAUCUAGGCAGAGGCAGGAGGACAAGUCUUUUAGUUUGCAGGUUGUCUCUCAUGUUGACAAAGCUGAAGGAGCAACCUGCCAAACUGGAUGCCCCAGAGCUCCAAGUUCUAUUACGAGACAAUCUUUUGAGGUCAAUUUCCAAGAAACUCUUCAACAAUCUUCACAGCAUCCGCGUUUUGGAUCUAAGGACUGAGAUCAAUUCGCUACUGAAGAAUGUUAGAGACAUAAAAUCUCUGUCAGUUUGACUUGGACGAAUAUAGAGACGCUCUCACAAUCAAUCGGGAAGUUGGUCGGCAUGGAGGAGCUGUAUCUUGAAUGCUGUGAUCGUCUCACUUACUUACCUUCCAAUUUAAUUCACCUCACCAGGUUGUAAAUCCUGUAUAUUGAUGGAAGUAAGCAUUUGUUCAGAACGAGUCUUUGGGAGGGACUUUCCAAAAUGUUCAGAAGGAAAUUAGUGGUGUGGGACCUCGUCAACUUGGUUGGCUUGGAACAUUCGAGUGUCUAGAAUGGUAAUUCCUUGGAAACAAUGUUGUUCCCAGCUGACGGCAUCAAAGAGGCUCCAGAAGUUGAAGUUCAUUGGAAAUGGUUGGCAACUUCCAGAGUUUCCAGAGUUGAGUGAUGACCAGCAGCAUUCGAAAUACCUUGAGCUUUCAUGUGGGGGUUGGUUUCUCUUCCAAACCGCUUGUGUUCCCUCCCUCUUCUGCUUUCUUUAUACAAUGCUCAAUGUUGGUCUCACUUCCAACUCUAGAUCAUCUUCCAAAUUUGGUGAGAUUGAAUAUCUUUGAUUGUGAUGUUUUGGAGGCUUUACCAACUUCUUUUGGUAGAAAAGAUGGCUUUCUAGCUCUUGUAAGAUUUGAUUUACAAGUAUGUGAUAAACUUGCAUCUUUGCCAAAGUUGGAAGAUGGUGCAAUAAUAUGUCUUAAA